UACGUAGCGGGCAAGCGUUGUUCGGAAUUACUGGGCGUAAAGCGCACGUAGGCGGCGAUUCAAGUCAGAGGUGAAAGCCCGGGGCUCAACCCCGGAACUGCCUUUGAAACUAGAUUGCUAGAAUCCUGGAGAGGUGAGUGGAAUUCCGAGUGUAGAGGUGAAAUUCGUAGAUAUUCGGAAGAACACCAGUGGCGAAGGCGACUCACUGGACAGGUAUUGACGCUGAGGUGCGAAAGCGUGGGGAGCAAACAGG
rnacentral:rRNA from 1 species